rnacentral:rRNA from 1 species
AGCACUUUAUACUGUGAAACUGCGAAUGGCUCAUUAAAUCAGUUAUCGUUUAUUUGAUAGUACCUUACUACAUGGAUACCUGUGGUAAUUCUAGAGCUAAUACAUGCUGAAAACCUCGACUUCGGAAGGGGUGUAUUUAUUAGAUAAAAAACCAAUGCCCUUCGGGGCUCCUUGGUGAAUCAUAAUAACUUAACGAAUCGCAUGGCCUUGCGCCGGCGAUGGUUCAUUCAAAUUUCUGCCCUAUCAACUUUCGAUGGUAGGAUAGUGGCCUACCAUGGUGGCAACGGGUAACGGGGAAUUAGGGUUCGAUUCCGGAGAGGGAGCCUGAGAAACGGCUACCACAUCCAAGGAAGGCAGCAGGCGCGCAAAUUACCCAAUCCCGACACGGGGAGGUAGUGACAAUAAAUACUGAUACGGGGCUCUUUUGGGUCUCGUAAUUGGAAUGAGUACAAUCUAAAUCCCUUAACGAGGAACAAUUGGAGGGCAAGUCUGGUGCCAGCAGCCGCGGUAAUUCCAGCUCCAAUAGCGUAUAUUAAAGUUGUUGCAGUUAAAAAGCUCGUAGUUGAACCUUGGGUCUGGCUGGCCGGUCCGCCUCACCGCGAGUACUGGUCCGGCUGGACCUUUCCUUCUGGGGAAUCUCAUGGCCUUCACUGGCUGUGGGGGGAACCAGGACUUUUACUGUGAAAAAAUUAGAGUGUUCAAAGCAGGCCUUUGCUCGAAUACAUUAGCAUGGAAUAAUAGAAUAGGACGUGCGGUUCUAUUUUGUUGGUUUCUAGGACCGCCGUAAUGAUUAAUAGGGAUAGUCGGGGGCGUCAGUAUUCAGCUGUCAGAGGUGAAAUUCUUGGAUUUGCUGAAGACUAACUACUGCGAAAGCAUUCGCCAAGGAUGUUUUCAUUAAUCAGGGAACGAAAGUUAGGGGAUCGAAGACGAUCAGAUACCGUCGUAGUCUUAACCAUAAACUAUGCCGACUAGGGAUCGGACGGUGUUUCUAUUAUGACCCGUUCGGCACCUUACGAGAAAUCAAAGUUUUU